CCUACGGGGGACUGCAGUGGGGAAUAUUUCACAAUGGGGGAAACCCUGAUGCAGCAACGCCGCGUGAGUGAAGGAGUAUUUCGGUAUGUAAAGCUCUAUCAGUAGGGAAGAAGAAAGACGUUACCUGACUAAGAAUCCCCGGCUAACUCCUUGCCAGCAGCCGCGGUAAUACGGGGGAUCCGGGCGUUAUCCGGUUUUAUUGGGUUUAAGGGGUGCGCAGGCGGUGUGUUAGUUCAGCGGUAAAAGCCCGGGGCUCAACCCCGGACCGCCUUUGAAACUGGGAGUCGUGAGUUUGAGAGAGGUAGGCGGAAUGCGUGGUGGAGCGGUGAAAUGCAUAGAUAUCGCGAAGAACUCCGAUGGCGAAGGCAGCAUGCCGGAUCCACACUGACGCUGAGGCACGAAAGCGUGGGUAGCGAACAGGAUUAGAUACCCCAGUAGUC
rnacentral:rRNA from 1 species